UACGAAGGGGGCUAGCGUUGUUCGGAAUUACUGGGCGUAAAGGGCGCGUAGGCGGUUUUGUAAGUCAGAUGUGAAAGCCCCGGGCUCGACCCGGGAAUAGCAUUUGAUACUGCGAGGCUUGAGUCCGGGAGAGGAUGGCGGAAUUCCCAGUGUAGAGGUGAAAUUCGUAGAUAUUGGGAAGAACGCCGGUGGCGAAGGCGGCCAUCUGGACCGGUACUGACGCUGAGGUGCGAAAGCGUGGGGAGCAAACAGG
rnacentral:rRNA from 1 species